rnacentral:lncRNA from 1 species
GCCUGUUACACUUGAAAGAUUUGUUCUGAAUGUCCAGUGGGAACCUGGAAAUCGUAAUAAUUUGUAGUAUCGAUUGAGUGAAGCUAUGCAGCUGGGGCCUCCAGUGAAUAGACAGGAAUAGACAUUUUAUUGAUUAACUUUUACAGUCAUAUUUUCAAGACUCCGCUGCAACAUAAUUUUCACUUCCAAGCUUUGUGUUGCUGCAUC